rnacentral:rRNA from 1 species
GACGAACGCUGGCGGCAUGCCUAAUACAUGCAAGUCGAGCGAACAGAUGAAGUGCUUGCACUUCUGACGUUAGCGGCGAACGGGUGAGUAACACGUAAGGAAUCUACCUAUAAGCGGGGGAUAACAUUCGGAAACGGGUGCUAAUACCGCAUAAUAUCUUCUUCCGCAUGGAAGAAGAUUGAAAGACGGCUCUGCUGUCACUUAUAGAUGACCUUGCGGUGCAUUAGUUAGUUGGUGGGGUAACGGCCUACCAAGACGAUGAUGCAUAGCCGACCUGAGAGGGUGAUCGGCCACAUUGGGACUGAGACACGGCCCAAACUCCUACGGGAGGCAGCAGUAGGGAAUCUUCCGCAAUGGGCGAAAGCCUGACGGAGCGAUGCCGCGUGAGUGGAGAAGGCCUUCGGGUCGUAAAACUCUGUUAUAAGAGAAGAACAAAUUGUAGAGUAACUGCUACAGUCUUGACGGUAUCUUAUCAGAAAGCCACGGCUAACUACGUGCCAGCCGCCGCCGUAA